UUUGCCGUUGCUAAACCUAGCC
rnacentral:siRNA from 1 species